rnacentral:lncRNA from 1 species
UAUAUAUAUAUAUAUAUAUAUAUAUAUAUAUAUAUACCUUCAAAAUCGGACACAUUAAAUAUUUUUACAUCUUGGGAAAAUUUAUGUGUAAAACAAAAGCAAAUAAUAAUAAUAAUAAUAAUUCAUUCAUUUUUUAUUAUUAUUCAUACUUUACAGUAAAUUUAGGGCUAUGCAUUUUAAUAUUUAUUUUGAUAGAACCAAAAGUGCAUCUGAGAUAGCGACAAGGAGCCACCUAGCGGCUUUGAGGUGAAACUAAGUCCAAAAGAGUCGUAAUCCUGUCGCAAUAGUUCAGGAAACAGAUCACCUCAUCCACAACAUGGGUUAAUUAUCUGAUUUUAAACCCUACCUCACCUUACCCAAACCCUACCUAACCUUACCCAAACCCUACCUGUCGCAACCCAACCUAACACGUCAUAACCUAAGCAAAUACACCCAAACCUGAUUCACACAGUUUUUGACAAUCAGAAAUGGAGCUUUUUUCCGAUCUUGAGAACGAUUUGACCAACUCGGUGCCAGAAAGAACAUAGGAAGGUGGCGUUCAACGCGGCGUUCAACGUGUUCACAGCGCCCUGCGACAGUUCUCUGAGUUCUCUACUUUCCUCACUUGAGCAAUAAUCAAUGUAAAACUUGUUAUUUAGCGUAGACGCAUCUAAACUUUCUGCCCACAGUAGGGACUGUGGCUUACAGCCAGUGGCACUGCUCUCGUUUUCACUGGCACCGUCAUACCACGGUGGCACUGUUGCCAGUGAUCCUUCACUAGCAACGUCACCGUUACAAUCAACCCAAUCACCUCGGAGAUUGUCUUCACGCUCUUCACAUCUGUUUAGCCACCCUCAUAUCCUCAAGGAUAUGAGGAUAAGGCAGUGGGAUAUAAGGAUAUGGAGUUGGAAUAGGACGGAGUGAAGGACCAACUGGGAUCGAACGCUGACCUGCAAGAAACGAAGCCAUCAUUGAGGAUCAAAUUGCACGUCAAAGUAUUUAGCCUGGGGGUCGAACACGGCAUUCGGGACACUUGCUAGACUAUAUACAAGACAUAAGAGUGAACAUGUGUUUUGUUCAUGCUAGCUUUUGAACAUGUAUAACAUGGGGUUUGUUCAUGCUAGCCUUUGAACAUGUAUAACAUGGGUUUUGCAGCAUGCUAAACAUGGGCAUUGCAACAGGCCAGACAUAUGCAAGCUAAGCAACAUACUCCAGCUAAGAACCUUGUUUCUUGAUUGUUGAACUGCUUCUAUGAAAUUCAACUUCUCAAAGGUACCGGAUGAUUGACAACCUUCUACCUGAUGUGGCUUUAGAAGGAGACGUAGCAGUGAUUGACAGGUCCUGCCUGGUGAUUUAUAUAUAAAUCUAUAUACACACACACGCUGCAUAUUAACUACAAUCCCAGUAUUGUCAGCGGUCCGGCCGAAUAAAACAAUUGUAUUGUAUUUUUUCCUCUUUUUCACAAAGAUCUCAUUUUAAGGCUCCAUUGACAGUUGUGUGGUGAUUCAUGUGUAAAAGUUGGGAUCCGAGGGAAAGGGUGGGGUGGUGCGGGCGUGGGGAGGGGGGAGGCGAGUGAAGCUGCAGGUGUGGGGAGGGGGGAUGCGAGUGAAGCUACAGGUGUGGGUAAGGAGUGAGAGUGAAGCUACAGGUGUGGGUAAGGAUUGAGAGUUUAGCUACAGGUGUGGGUAAGGAGUGAGAGUGAAGCUACAGGUGUGGGUAAGGAGUGAGAGUGAAGCUACAGGUGUGGGUAAGGAAUGAGAGUGAAGCUACAGGUAUGGGUAAGAAGUGAGAGUGAAGCUGCAGGUGUGGGUAAGAAGUGAGAAUGAGGCUAUAGGUGUGGGUAAAGGGUGAGAAUGAAGCUACAGGUGUGAGUAAGAGGUGAGAAUGAAGCUACAGGUGUGGGUAAGGAGUGAGUGAAGCUACAGGUAUGGAUAAAGGGGAGAAUGAAGCUACAGGUGUGGGUAAAGAGUGAGAAUGAAGCUACAGGUGUGAGUAAAGAGUGAGAAUGAAGCUACAGGUGUAAGAGGUGAGAAUGAAGCUACAGGUGUAAGAGGUGAGAAUGAAGCUACAGGUGUGGGUAAAGAGUGAGAAUGAAGCUACAGGUGUGGGUAAAGAGUGAGAAUGAAGCUACAGGUGUGGGUAAAGGGUGAGAAUGAAGCUACAGGUGUGGGUAAAGGGUGAAAAUGAAGCUACAGGUGUGGGUAAGAAGUAAGAAUGAAGCUACAGGUGUGGGUAAAGGGUGAGAAUGAAGCUACAGGUGUGGGUAAAGGGUAAGAAUGAAGCUACAGGUGUGGGUAAAGGGUAAGAAUGAAGCUUCAGGUGUGGGUAAAGGGUGAGAAUGAAGCUACAGGUGUGGGUAAAGGGUGAGAAUGAAGCUACAGGUGUGGGUAAGAAGUAAGAAUGAAGCUACAGGUGUGGGUAAGGGGUGAGAAUGAAGCUACAGGUGUGGGUAAGGAGUGUGUGAAGCUACAGGUGUGAGUAAAGGAUGAGAAUGAAGCUACAGAUGUGGGUAAAGGGUGAGAAUGAAGCUACAGGUAUGGGUAAGAAGUAAGAAUGAAGCUACAGGUGUGGGUAAAGGGUGAGAAAUAAUCUACCUAUGAAGGAAGGUUUAGGACGCCCCCCUCUCCUCAAUACCCCCCCCCCCGCCCCCCCUCCAGUACUCAACCCUCAACAGACCAAAAACUGGGGUGUUAAUGCUAUUCAAUUUUAUGUUGUGUAUACUCUGAACUCUUGAUCUUGUCCCAUGUAAUACUCGACUAUACUUUGGUAAAGUUCUUGAAUUAUAUUCUUGGAAUCCAAA